UGAUUAUGUGGUGGAUGUCUGAGGGAACAGAAUACUGCAGUUAAUAAUUGGCCCCCUUGUCUAUUGUGUCUUUUGUAGGUCAUGUCGAGUGUGAUAGUGAGGCUUAUCUUGCUCUUGUUGUUUUGAACACGCCUAUAUGUGCACAUUGUAAGCCAAGGUCGGUGACUCGGUCUGUUGGUUUUAGUAUCCCCAGAUAAUGCAACGUGGUAGGUAUUCACUUAAGCAAAGUGGGGCAUGUUCGCUUGUAUGCGAUCUGAUAACAGUCAGGGUUUUGAAUUGACAGUCGUAAUGGCAUUCGUUGGGCUGUAUACUGAGGUGCAGCAUGGUGACUGAAUACUGUGUAAGGCAGACACCGUUGGGUUGUAUACUGAGGUGCAGCGUGGUGACUGAAUGCUGUCAUUGUGUUAUACCGCCACAACUGUCUGCGCUUCUUUACCUAGUCGAGUACGUGUAUUUUGUCUUACCCAACAGACAGCACAUACAUAAAUAGUAUGUAGAGUAUUUACCUCUUCAUUUACAAAUACUAUUUGAUACUUUGCUAGCAUUUAUCUAAAAUACAAGGCAGACAUGCAUUGUGCAAACAUUAUUUUUGUUAGAUUUGGGAGUUUCAACGGUAUACACACAAUGCAAAAUAAAUAUUGUGUUGGUGCUUC
rnacentral:lncRNA from 1 species